GAUGGCUUUAUGCUUGCAGCUGCAUUCUUCAAUACCACAGACCGUGUUGGAUGCUGCCAGGCCCACUCAAACUGCAGCCAAGGAAAAGUCAAGGCACUCCUGCUACAGAUUUGAUUGAAACCUAACACAGUUCAAUUUUGUUUAAACCCUAGUGUGCAGAACCUACAUGGAGGCUAAAUGAGGAAUGGCACUUUGCACGGUUUAGUACCCCCAACUAGCUGGAUUUAAGAGCAGAUGUAAAAGAGUUUAUACGCAGAUCCUUGAAGCAUAUUAGAGCAGAUCUUUGAAGCACAUUAUAGCAACCUUUAAGCAUAUUUAAGACCAGAAUGACAUCAGACUUUAUGAGCAGACAUAUAGGAAAUUUGUGAGCAGAUUUAAGGAGAUUUACAGUAGAACUUUUGAGGAAACUUAUAGCAGACUUAGAGAAGUUAUAGAGGCAAAUCAUACCAGCAUAUAGAGGCAAUAUAUAUCUGUCUAUUGAGGUGAUUCAUAUCAGCAUUUCAGCAGAGAUACGAGGCAUUCUCAGAGUAGUCAUUAUUGCAGAUUUAUAGCAGAUUUAGAGCAAAGAUUAAGGCAGAAUUCGGAUCAGAAAUUGCAUCAUUUUGGAGCAGACUUUAUUGCAGACCUUGAGCAGAGCUAUAAGGCAGAUUUGGAGUACAGAUGUAAGGUGAACUUAAGCAGAGGUAUAAGGCAGAUUUGGAGUACAGAUGUAAGGUGAACUUAAGCAGAGGUAUAAGGCAGAUUUAGAGCAAAGAUUAAGGUAGAAUUGGAGCAGAAAUAAUUGAAGUUUUGGAGCAGAUAUUGGAAAGGUUGGUGCCUUAUAAUUUAUAAGAGAUUGGUGUCUCUUGCUGAGUCGGUGCUCAAUUGUGGGGGUUGGUUCCUCCAGUAGGUUGGUGCCUAUGAAUUGUGGGAAUUGGUGUCUCUAGUAGGUAGGUGCCUACAAAUUGAGGGGAUUGGUGUCUCCUGUGGGUUGGUGCCUACAAAGUUUGUAAAAGAUUUUAUAUAGUAAAUAUUUGCCCCAGUUUUC